GGGGUUGCUUAGUUUCGACAGGUCGUACAUUUAAAAUAUGCAAGCCGAGUAUGAUAAUUCCUCGUUAAAUUUGUAUCAAAGUUAUAAGUGCAAACUUCAUAACAAAAGCGAAAUCAGUAUUUGCGCAAGCAUUUACUUCAAAUUUUGCGGUUGCUAUUGCCUAAAUAUCGCCUAAUCAGCGCUAUCGCAGUAGUCAUCGAACCAUCAACUCCUGAUAGAUGGGAUUCGGUGUCAAAACAUCAGGAUAGUCGAUCUGAUAUUUUCUAAGUCAAUUCGAUAAAACUUCAUUAGUCAUAGAUUGAAAAGGUUUUGUUUGCUUAUCACUUUUCAAUCGAAACAAAUAAGUAAACUACGCUUGUAGAUUGUUUUAGAUGAAUGAUUUUGGACAUGGGUGCGAUUCCCAUCAACUCCACAA
rfam:Parcubacteria (Moranbacteria) bacterium GW2011_GWA2_39_41 TT50_C0002, whole genome shotgun sequence.